UGGGGAUUCGCCAAGCGGUAAGGCAACGGACUCUGACUCCGUCAUUCGGGUGUUCGAAUCACUUAUCCCCAGCCA
rnacentral:tRNA from 2 species